rnacentral:misc_RNA from 1 species
AAGUCGUAACAAGGUUUCCGUAGGUGAACCUGCGGAAGGAUCAUUACUGAACUGUCGACACGAGUUGUUGCUGGUCCUCAAAUGGGGGCAUGUGCACGCUCUGUUUACAUACCCACUCACACCUGUGCACCCUCUGUAGUUCUGUGGUGUGGGGGACUCUGUCCUCCCCACCGUGGUUCUACGUCUUUACACACACACAGUCUCAUAGAAUGUAUGUCGCGUUUAACGCAAUACAAUACAACUUUCAGCAACGGAUCUCUUGGCUCUC